AGAGAGAGAGAGAGAGAGAGAGAGAGAGAGAGAGAGAGAGAGAGAGAGAGAGAGAGAGAGAGAGAGAGAGAGAGACCAUGGGGGGAGCAUGACUUUUGAUUCCUUCACAGUUUUGUAAUGGUCCGUCCACACUAGCGGGCAAAGCACGGCGGGCUUUGCCCGUCACGGGCAAAACCCGCCGUGCUCACAGAAACCGAUGUCCACACAGCAACGCUUGCCUGUUUCAGUCAGAGGCAAGCACCCGUACAACCAGGCAGCGGAUCUAUGUAUCCGAAGUACUGCAUGCCUAGACUACUGAUUCUGGCCUGACAGAGAGGUAGACAUCAUUGGCAGUCAUGGACAUAAAGCCAACAUUGUAACCUCAUAUGCCUGGCAGUGGCGCACUGCAGGGCCUGGCGAGAUCAGUGUCCGUGAAACUUGUCUACAAACAAGCAGUUUGCUCGUCUGCAGCCGGGCAAAGGUGGAGAAAAUGUUGCUGGGCAAACGCUUCUCUUCUGCCCGCUAGUGUAGACGGAUCUUUAGGACGUACAUGGCCUUUAAAGUUGGGCAUUACAUGAUGUUUGUAUGGAUUUUGUAGCAGCAAGACUUGUCAUCAAAAGUAACUAAGAAACAAACUUGUGGUGAUAUUUAUUUCAAACAUCUGCAGUAAUACAUCAGUAUUGGUUAUACAUAUGAAUAACAUCAAGAAUUGUAACUACAUUUUCUAUAUUAAUUUAUAACAGUGAGGUGACUUAAUAAUUUCUCUGAAAUGUAUGGUUUAUAUUUGAAUUUUUAAUGUCUACCAAUGUCAUGCAUGGUGAAGUUCCCCAAACACCAGUUAGUUACCAGGUGUGUGUUGCCAGAGUAACAUUCUGCACGAAAUCACUCUGUAAUCACAGGUAGGGACUGGUGAAGUGUUGUCCUGUAGUGUUAACUUUGUAUCAAAACACCAAAUAGGAUUAUACUACACAA